rnacentral:rRNA from 1 species
AACGAACGCUGGCGGCAUGCCUAACACAUGCAAGUCGAACGAAGCCUUCGGGCUUAGUGGCGCACGGGUGCGUAACGCGUGGGAAUCUGCCCUUGGGUUCGGAAUAACAGUUAGAAAUGACUGCUAAUACCGAAUGAUGUCUUCGGACCAAAGAUUUAUCGCCCAAGGAUGAGCCCGCGUCGGAUUAGCUAGUUGGUGAGGUAAAGGCUCACCAAGGCGACGAUCCGUAGCUGGUCUGAGAGGAUGAUCAGCCACACUGGGACUGAGACACGGCCCAGACUCCUACGGGAGGCAGCAGUGGGGAAUAUUGGACAAUGGGCGAAAGCCUGAUCCAGCAAUGCCGCGUGAGUGAUGAAGGCCUUAGGGUUGGUAAAGCUCUUUUACCCGGGAUGAUAAUGACAGUACCGGGAGAAUAAGACCCCGGCUAACUCCGUGCCAGCAGCCGCGGUAAU